rnacentral:rRNA from 1 species
UACGUAGGGUGCAAGCGUUAAUCGGAAUUACUGGGCGUAAAGCGUGCGCAGGCGGUUUUGUAAGUCUGAUGUGAAAUCCCCGGGCUCAACCUGGGAAUUGCAUUGGAGACUGCAAGGCUAGAAUCUGGCAGAGGGGGGUAGAAUUCCACGUGUAGCAGUGAAAUGCGUAGAGAUGUGGAGGAACACCGAUGGCGAAGGCAGCCCCCUGGGUCAAGA